AGUGAACGCUGGCGGUAGGCCUAACACAUGCAAGUCGAACGGCAGCACAGUAAGAGCUUGCUCUUACGGGUGGCGAGUGGCGGACGGGUGAGGAAUACAUCGGAAUCUACUUUUUCGUGGGGGAUAACGUAGGGAAACUUACGCUAAUACCGCAUACGACCUACGGGUGAAAGCAGGGGAUCUUCGGACCUCGCGCGAUUGAAUGAGCCGAUGUCGGAUUAGCUAGUUGGCGGGGUAAAGGCCCGCCAAGGCGACGAUCCGUAGCUGGUCUGAGAGGAUGAUCAGCCACACUGGAACUGAGACACGGUCCAGACUCCUACGGGAGGCAGCAGUGGGGAAUAUUGGACAAUGGGCGCAAGCCUGAUCCAGCCAUACCGCGUGGGUGAAGAAGGCCUUCGGGUUGUAAAGCCCUUUUGUUGGGAAAGAAAAGCAGCAGGUUAAUACCCCGCUGUUCUGACGGUACCCAAAGAAUAAGCACCGGCUAACUUCGUG
rnacentral:rRNA from 1 species